rnacentral:misc_RNA from 1 species
GAUGAAGAACGUAGCGAAAUGCGAUAAGUAAUGUGAAUUGCAGAAUUCAGUGAAUCAUCGAAUCUUUGAACGCACAUUGCGCCCGCCAGUAUUCUGGCGGGCAUGCCUGUUCGAGCGUCAUUUCAACCAUCAAGCCCCAGGCUUGUGUUGGGGACCUGCGGCUGCCGCAGGUCCUGAAAACCAGUGGCGGGCUCGCUGUCACACCGGGCGUAGUAGAUUUUAUCUCGCUCAGGGCGUGCUGCGGGUUCCGGCCGUUAAAAAGCCUUUUUUACCCAAGGUUGACCUCGGAUCAGGUAGGAAUACCCGCUGAACUUAAGCAUAUCAAUAAGCGGAGGA